rnacentral:tRNA from 1 species
CAUUAAAUGACUGAAAGUAAGUAUUGGUCUCUUAAACCAAUUUAUAGUAAAACUAACAAUUUACUUUUAAUGA